GGGACACGUGGUAUCCUGUCUGAAUAUGGGGGGACCAUCCUCCAAGGCUAAAUACUCCUGACUGACCGAUAGUGAACCAGUACCGUGAGGGAAAGGCGAAAAGAACCCCGGCGAGGGGAGUGAAAAAGAACCUGAAACCGUGUACGUACAAGCAGUGGGAGCACCUUCGGGUGUGACUGCGUACCUUUUGUAUAAUGGGUCAGCGACUUAUAUUCUGUAGCAAGGUUAACCGUAUAGGGGAGCCGCAGGGAAACCGAGUCUUAACUGGGCGUUAAGUUGCAGGGUAUAGACCCGAAACCCGGUGAUCUAGCCAUGGGCAGGUUGAAGGUUGGGUAACACUAACUGGAGGACCGAACCGACUAAUGUUGAAAAAUUAGCGGAUGACUUGUGGCUGGGGGUGAAAGGCCAAUCAAACCGGGAGAUAGCUGGUUCUCCCCGAAAGCUAUUUAGGUAGCGCCUCGUGAACUCAUCUUCGGGGGUAGAGCACUGUUUCGGCUAGGGGGUCAUCCCGACUUACCAACCCGAUGCAAACUACGAAUACCGAAGAAUGUUAUCACGGGAGACACACGGCGGGUGCUAACGUCCGUCGUGAAGAGGGAAACAACCCAGACCGCCAGCUAAGGUCCCAAAGUCAUGGUUAAGUGGGAAACGAUGUGGGAAGGCACAGACAGCCAGGAUGUUGGCUUAGAAGCAGCCAUCAUUUAAAGAAAGCGUAAUAGCUCACUGGUCGAGUCGGCCUGCGCGGAAGAUGUAACGGGGCUAAACCAUGCACCGAAGCUGCGGCAGCGACACUAUGUGUUGUUGGGUAGGGGAGCGUUCUGUAAGCCUGCGAAGGUGUGCUGUGAGGCAUGCUGGAGGUAUCAGAAGUGCGAAUGCUGACAUAAGUAACGAUAAAGCGGGUGAAAAGCCCGCUCGCCGGAAGACCAAGGGUUCCUGU
rnacentral:rRNA from 1 species